GUUUAUAUAAUUUAAUUUAGAAUGUUGCAUUGAAGUUGCAAAAGUGGUAAUUUACCUGUAGGCA
rnacentral:tRNA from 1 species